GAACGCACAUUGCGCCCCUUGGUAUUCCGGGGGGCAUGCCUGUUCGAGCGUCAUUUCAACCCUCAAGCUCAGCUUGGUAUUGGGCCUCCGCCGGGCGACCGGCGGGCCUUAAAGUCAGUGGCGGCGCCGUUGGGUCCUGAACGUAGUAACAUACACCUCGUUACAGGGUCCCCGCGAGCUUCUGCCAUUAAACCCCCCACUUUCUAUGGUUGACCUCGGAUCAGGUAGGGAUACCCGCUGAACUUAAG
rnacentral:misc_RNA from 1 species